rnacentral:rRNA from 1 species
GAUAAACGCUGGCGGCGUGCCUAAUACAUGCAAGUCGAGCGGAAAGGCUCCUUCGGGAGUACUCGAGCGGCGGACGGCUGAGUAACACGUAGGAACGUACCCCAAAGUGAGGGAUAACUGCUCGAAAGAGUAGCUAAUACCGCAUGUGCUCUAAGGAGUAAAGCUUCGGCGCUUUGGGAACGGCCUGCGCCUGAUUAGCUUGUUGGUGAGGUAAAAGCUCACCAAGGCGACGAUCAGUAGCUGGUCUGAGAGGAUGAUCAGCCAGACUGGGACUGAGAACGGCCCAGACUCCUACGGGAGGCAGCAGUAGGGAAUUUUCCACAAUGGGCGAAAGCCUGAUGGAGCAACGCCGCGUGCAGGAUGAAUGCCUUCGGGUUGUAAACUGCUUUUAUAUGUGACGAUUAUGACGGUAGCAUAUGAAUAAGGAUCGGCUAACUCCGUGCCAGCCGCCGCAGUAA